CCUACGGGUGGCUGCAGUGAGGAAUAUUGGUCAAUGGACGAGAGUCUGAACCAGCCAAGUAGCGUGAAGGAUGACUGCCCUAUGGGUUGUAAACUUCUUUUAUAUGGGAAUAAAAUGUUCCACGUGUGGGAUUUUGUAUGUACCAUAUGAAUAAGGAUCGGCUAACUCCGUGCCAGCAGCCGCGGUAAUACGGAGGAUCCGAGCGUUAUCCGGAUUUAUUGGGUUUAAAGGGAGCGUAGGUGGAUUGUUAAGUCAGUUGUGAAAGUUUGCGGCUCAACCGUAAAAUUGCAGUUGAAACUUGCAGUCUUGAGUACAGUAGAGGUGGACGGAAUUCGUGGUGUAGCGGUGAAAUGCUUAGAUAUCACGAAGAACUCCGAUUGCGAAGGCAGUUCACUGGACUGCAACUGACACUGAGGCUCGAAAGUGUGGGUAUCAAACAGGAUUAGAUACCCGAGUAGUC
rnacentral:rRNA from 1 species